UCCUGGUAGUUCAGAUGGUAAAGAAUCUGCCUGCAGUGCAGGAGACCUGGGUUCAAUCCCUGGAUCGGGAA
rnacentral:tRNA from 1 species